rnacentral:rRNA from 1 species
CAGUCGCCGCGGUAAUACGUAGGGGGCAAGCGUUGUCCGGAAUUAUUGGGCGUAAAGCGCGCGCAGGCGGUUCUUUAAGUCUGGUGUCUAAGUGCGGGGCUCAACCCCGUGACGCACUGGAAACUGGGAGACUUGAGUGCAGAAGAGGAGAGCGGAAUUCCACGUGUAGCGGUGAAAUGCGUAGAGAUGUGGAGGAACACCAGUGUCGAAGGCGACUCUCUGGUCUGUAACUGACGCUGAGGAGCGAAAGCGUGGGGAGCGAACAGGAUUAGAUACCCCGGUAGUCCCUGUCUCUUAUACA